AGAGUUUGAUCCUGGCUCAGAUUGAACGCUGGCGGCAUGCCUUACACAUGCAAGUCGAACGGUAACGGGCCUUCGGGUGCCGACGAGUGGCGAACGGGUGAGUAAUAUAUCGGAACGUACCAUUCAGUGGGGGAUAACGUAGCGAAAGUUACGCUAAUACCGCAUAUUCUGUGCGCAGGAAAGCAGGGGAUCGCAAGACCUUGCGCUGAUUGAGCGGCCGAUAUCAGAUUAGCUAGUUGGUGAGGUAAAAGCUCACCAAGGCGACGAUCUGUAGCGGGUCUGAGAGGAUGAUCCGCCACACUGGAACUGAGACACGGUCCAGACUCCUACGGGAGGCAGCAGUGGGGAAUUUUGGACAAUGGGGGCAACCCUGAUCCAGCCAUGCCGCGUGAGUGAAGAAGGCCUUCGGGUUGUAAAGCUCUUUCAGCCGGGAAGAAAACGCAUGGGUUAAUACCCUGUGUGGAUGACGGUACCGGAAUAAGAAGCACCGGCUAACUACGUGCCAGCAGCCGCGGUAAUACGUAGGGUGCGAGCGUUAAUCGGAAUUACUGGGCGUAAAGCGUGCGCAGGCGGUUUUGUAAGACAGGCGUGAAAUCCCCGGGCUCAACCUGGGAACUGCGUUUGUGACUGCAAGGCUAGAGUACGGCAGAGGGGGGUGGAAUUCCACGUGUAGCAGUGAAAUGCGUAGAGAUGUGGAGGAACACCAAUGGCGAAGGCAGCCCCCUGGGUCGAUACUGACGCUCAUGCACGAAAGCGUGGGUAGCAAACAGGAUUAGAUACCCUGGUAGUCCACGCCCUAAACGAUGAACACUCGCUGUUGGCGAUACACGGUCAGCGGCUAAGCGAAAGCGUUAAGUGUUCCACCUGGGGAGUACGCCCGCAAGGGUGAAACUCAAAGGAAUG
rnacentral:rRNA from 1 species